rnacentral:rRNA from 1 species
CACGUAGGGCGCAAGCGUUGUCCGGAAUUAUUGGGCGUAAAGAGCUCGUAGGCGGUCUGUUGCGUCCGCUGUGAAAACUCGGGGCUUAACCCCGAGCCUGCAGUGGAUACGGGCAGACUAGAGGUAGGUAGGGGAGAAUGGAAUUCCCGGUGUAGCGGUGAAAUGCGCAGAUAUCGGGAGGAACACCGGUGGCGAAGGCGGUUCUCUGGACAGUUCCUGACACUGAGACACGAAGGCCAGGGGAGCAAACGGG